rnacentral:rRNA from 1 species
UUGGGUCGUGUUAUAAAUGCUCUGGCUAAACCUAUUGAUGGGAGAGGCGAAAUUGUAGCUUCCGAAUCUCGCUUAAUUGAAUCUCCUGCUCCAAGUAGAAUUUCCAGGCGUUCCGUAUACGAACCUCUUCAAACAGGGCUUAUUGCUAUCGAUUCGAUGAUCCCUAUAGGGCGCGGUCAGCGAGAGUUCAUUAUUGGGGAUAGAUAG